rnacentral:rRNA from 1 species
AACGUAGGAGACAAACGUUAUCCGGAGUUACUGGGCGUAAAGGGCGUGUAGGCGGAUUGCUAAGUACCUUGUGAAAUCCCACGGCUUAACCGUGGAACUGCUUGGUAUACUGGCUGUCUUGAGCCACUUAGGGGCAACCGGAACAAACGGUGGAGCGGUGAAAUGCGUAGAUAUCGUUUGGAACGCCAAUGGUGAAAACAGGUUGCUGGGAGUGUGCUGACGCUGAGACACGAAAGCCAGGGGAGCAAACGGG